rnacentral:ncRNA from 1 species
AGGGCAUUGCUUUGGGGUGUCAUGAUAUGUCAAGAGGUAGGAUGAAAUCAACGAGUUUUUUCCUUGGCCGGAAGGUCUGGGUAAUCUUGUAAAAUUUCAUCGUGCUGGGGAUUGACCAUUGCAAUUAUUGGUCAUCAACGAGGAAUUCCUAGUAAGCGCAAGUCAUCAGCUUGCGUUGAUUACGUCCCUGCCCU